rnacentral:rRNA from 1 species
AGCCAUCCAUUCAAAGAGUGCGUAAUAGCUCACUGGUCGAGAGGUCCUGCGCCGAAAAUGUCCGGGGCUGAAACGCGCCACCGAAACUAAGGAACCGAAAGGUUGGUAGAGGAGCAUUGCAUGCGGGAAGAAGCAGUACCGUAAGGAGCUGUGGACUGCAUGGAAGAGAGAAUGCCGGAAUGAGUAGCGAGAAUAAGGUGAGAAUCCUUAUGGCCGAAUAUCCAAGGUUUCCAGAGUAAAGCUGAUCUGCUCUGGGUAAGUCGGGGCCUAAGGCGAGGACGAGAGUCGUAGUCGAUGGACAACAGGUGGAGAUUCCUGUACUGCGGUAUGACAGAACUGUGGGGACACGUAAGGAAAGCGGAAGCCGGGAAUGGAAAGCCCGGUGCAAGCGGGGUACCAGUCACUCUGGCAAAUCCGGGUGGCAAUGGGAAGCCGUGAUGCGGAGCGAAAUAAAGUAGCGAAGUCCGUGAGCCAUGCGUCAAGAAAAGCCGCUAUCGUUUAUACCGUACCCGUACCGUAAACCGACACAGGUGGAUGAGGAGAGAAUCCUAAGGCCGGCGGAAGAAGCAUUGUCAAGGAACUCGGCAAAAUGGCCCCGUAACUUAGGGAUAAGGGGUGCCUGGGAAACCAGGCCGCAGAGAAUAGGCUCAAGCAACUGUUUAGCAAAAACACAGGUCUAUGCGAAACCGAAAGGUGAGGUAUAUGGGCUGACGCCUGCCCGGUGCUGGAAGGUUAAGAGGAGAGGUUAGCGCAAGCGAAGCUUUGAAUUUAAGCCCCAGUAAACGGCGGCCGUAACAAUAACGGUCCUAAGGUAGCGAAAUUCCUUGUCGGGCAAGUUCCGACCCGCACGAAAGGCGUAAUGAUCUGAGCGCUGUCUCGACAAUGCAUCCGGUGAAAUUGAAGUACCAGUGAAGAUGCUGGUUACCUGCGCCAGGACGGAAAGACCCCAUGGAGCUUUACUCCAGUUUGGUACUGGGACUCGGUAUUGCAUGUACAGGAUAGGUGGGAGGCUAGGAGAUAGUAACGCCAGUUAUUAUGGAGCCGCUGUUGGGAUACCACCCUUGCAGUAUUGGGUUUCUAACCAGCCGCCGUGACCCGGCGGUGGGACAAUGCCAGACGGGGAGUUUGACUGGGGCGGUCGCCUCCGAAAGGGUAUCGGAGGCGCCCAAAGGUUCCCUCAGAAUGGACGGAAACCAUUCGAAGAGUGCAAAAGCUACCCUGGGAUAACAGGCUUAUCACUCCCAAGAGUUCACAUCGACGGAGUGGUUUGGCACCUCGAUGUCGGCUCAUCGCAUCCUGGGGCUGUAGUAGGUCCCAAGGGUUGGGCUGUUCGCCCAUUAAAGCGGUACGCGAGCUGGGUUCAGAACGUCGUGAGACAGUUCGGUCCCUAUCCGGCGUGGGCGUAGGAUAUCUGAGAGGAGCUGUCCUUAGUACGAGAGGACCGGGAUGGACGGGCCGCUGGUGCAUCGGUUAGACUGCCAAGUCUACGGCCGAGUAGCCAAGCCCGGAAGGGAUAAACGCUGAAGGCAUCUAAGCGUGAAGCCCCCCUUAAGAUGAGAUAUCCCAUUCGAAAGAAGUAAACCCCCUUGAAGACGACGAGGUAGAUAGGGCAGAGGUGGAAGUGUGGCAACACAUGGAGCUGACUGUUACUAAUCGGGUGAGGGCUUGACC